UGCACGUGGCAGUCAAAGAUGCAAUACAGUACUAUUUUAAAAGACUAAGCCAGCAUGUUUAUUUUGAUUCGUCAUAUGAAUGCUUAUAUUCAAAAGAUGAUAUUUUUAAUUAACACGCAGGCGACUGCCAAAGAUACACCAAAGACCACGUCAAUGUGCAGAACGACUUGUGUUUACAAACGAGGUGAGUAGUGGGGAAUGGAUCCCGUUUAUCCUGAUUAUCUAUUCUCGACGGGGAGAAAAAUGGAUCCAUAAAAUCCCCACGGGACCAAACCUGCGGACCAGUUCAGGAAGACAACGCGAGAUCCGGGAAGCUUCCUGGCUAGAUUCAACCGGAUCCACCAGGUCAAGCCGUCCAGAUCCAUCAACACCAAAACGGAGGCGACCUAAUAAUCCGUCAAAGCCCGUGUGUCGCCGCCGCCGGUUUCGGUCGUCGGACCUGCCUGCGCCCGCGCCGCCGUCCCACGACAGCAGCCGCCCGCUCUGACGCGCCUCCGCUCCCCGACGCACGCACUCACCGGCUAGACCAGACCACGCCAUGCGGGCGCAAGCACGAGAGAGAGCCACCGUACGCUACGCGCUGCUUGCGUCAGCGACCGGGGUCGCCGCCUGGUGCGGCUCCUUCCUCUCGCGCGUUGCCUUUGGGCUCAGACGGUGCGGCCCGUUCGCUCCAAAAAAAAAAAAGAAAAA
rnacentral:lncRNA from 1 species